CUCUAAGGAGACGGCGGGUGGGCGCGGGGAGGAAGGGGGGGACGACGUCAAGUCAUCAUGGCCCUUACGACCUGGGCUACACACGUGCUACAAUGGGCAGUACAAAGGGCCGCUAAGCCGCGAGGUGGAGCAAAUCCCAUAAAACUGUUCGUAGUCCGGAUUGAAGUCUGCAACUCGACUUCAUGAAGUAGGAAUCGCUAGUAAUCGUAAAUCAGAAUGUUACGGUGAAUACGUUCCCGGGCCUU
rnacentral:rRNA from 1 species